CCUACGGGUGGCAGCAGUGGGGAAUAUUUCACAAUGGGCGAAAGCCUGAUGCAGCAACGCCGCGUGAGCGAUGAAGGCCUUCGGGUCGUAAAGUUCUGUCCUCAAGGAAGAUAAUGACGGUACUUGAGGAGGAAGCACCGGCUAACUACGUGCCAGCAGCCGCGGUCAUACGUAGGAGCCUAGCGUUAUCCGGAAUUACUGGGCGUAAAGGGUGCGUUUGUGGUUUCUUGAGUCAGGGGUGAAAGGGUACGGCUCAAACGCAGUAAGCCAUUGAAACUGUGGAACUUGAGUGCAGGAGGGGUGAGUGGAAUGCCUAGUGUAGCGGUGAAAUGCGUAGAUAUUAGGAGGAACACCAGUUGCGAAGGCAGCUCUCUGGACUGGAACUGACACUGAGGCACGAAAGCGUGGGGAGCAAACAGGAUUAGAUACCCCAGUAGUC
rnacentral:rRNA from 1 species